CCUACGGGUGGCUGCAGUGAGGAAUAUUGGGCAAUGGACGGAAGUCUGAACCAGCAAUGCCGCGUGCAGGAAGACGGCUCUAUGAGUUGUAAACUGCUUUUGUACAAGGGUAAACCUGAAAACGUGUAUUCAACCGAAAGGACUGUACGAAUCAGGAUCGGCUAAGUCAGUACCAGCAGCCGCGGUAAUACGGAGAAUCCAAGCGUUAUCGGGAUUUAUUGGGUUUAAAGGGUGCGUAGGCGGUUUGAUAAGUUAGAGGUGAAAUGUCCGAGCUCAACUCGGGAACGUCCUCUCAUACUGUUGAUCUAGAGAGUAGAUGCGGUAGGCGGAAUGUAUGGUGUAGCGGUGAAAUGCUUAGAGAU
rnacentral:rRNA from 1 species